AUACGGAGGGUGCGAACGUUAAUCGGAAUUACUGGGCGUAAAGCGCGCGUAGGCGGCUUUGUAAGUCGGAUGUGAAAGCCCUGGGCUCAACCUGGGAAUGGCAUUGGGUACUGUUUAACUAGAGUGCAGGAGAGGAGAGUGGAAUUCUCGGUGUAGCGGUGAAAUGCGUAGAUAUCGGGAGGAACACCAGUGGCGAAGGCGGCUCUCUGGACUGACACUGACGCUGAGGUGCGAAAGCGCGGGUAGCAAACAGGAUUAGAAACCCGGGUAGUCC
rnacentral:rRNA from 1 species